GGACUACUGGGGUAUCUAAUCCCGUUCGCUCCCCUAGCUUUCGCACCCGAGCGUCAGUGACUCCCCAGGAUGUUGCCUUCGCCUUUGGUGUUCUUCCAGAUCUCUACGCAUUUCACCACUCCACCUGGAAUUCCACAUCCCUCUGAAGCCCUCAAGUCGUGCCGUCUCCAGAGUCCUUUUCCGGUUAAGCCGGAAACUGUCACCCUGGACUGAUACGACCGCCUGCGUGCGCUUUACGCCCAAUAAAUCCGGACAACGCUUGCCUCCUACGUAUUACCGCGGCUGCUGGCAC
rnacentral:rRNA from 1 species